rnacentral:rRNA from 1 species
CCUACGGGUGGCAGCAGUGAGGAAUAUUGCACAAUGGGGGCAAGUCUGAUGCAGCGACGCCGCGUGAGUGAAGACGGCUUUAGGUACUUAAAGCUCUAUCAGCAGGGAAGAAAAUGACGGUACCUGACUAAGAAGCCCAGGCUAACUACGUGCCAGCAGCCGCGGUAAUACGGAGGGGGCAAGGGUUAUCCGGAUUUACUGGGUGUAAAGGGAGCGUAGACGGCAGCGCAAGUCUGGAGUGAAAUCGCAUGGCUUAACCAUGGAACUGCGUUGGAAACUGUGCAGCUAGAGUGCAGGCGAGGUAAGCGGAAUUCGUGGUGUAGCGGUGAAAUGCUUAGAUAUCAGGAAGAACACCAGUGGCGAAGGCAGCUUACUGGACUGUAACUGACGUUGAGGCUCGAAAGCGUGGGGAGCAAACAGGAUUAGAUACCCCUGUAGUC